rnacentral:rRNA from 1 species
CCUACGGGAGGCUGCAGCGGGGAAUAUUGCACAAUGGGCGCAAGCCUGAUGCAGCCAUGCCGCGUGUGUGAAGAAGGCCUUCGGGUUGUAAAGCACUUUCAGCGGGGAGGAAGGCGUUAAGGUUAAUAACCUUGUCGAUUGACGUUACCCGCAGAAGAAGCACCGGCUAACUCCGUGCCAGCAGCCGCGGUAAUACGGAGGGUGCAAGCGUUAAUCGGAAUUACUGGGCGUAAAGCGCACGCAGGCGGUCUGUCAAGUCGGAUGUGAAAUCCCCGGGCUCAACCUGGGAACUGCAUUCGAAACUGGCAGGCUAGAGUCUUGUAGAGGGGGGUAGAGUUCCAGGUGUAGCGGUGAAAUGCGUAGAGAUCUGGAGGAAUACCGGUGGCGAAGGCGGCCCCCUGGACAAAGACUGACGCUCAGGUGCGAAAGCGUGGGGAGCAAACAGGAUUAGAUACCCGAGUAGUC